UUUUUUCACGGUAUCUUAUACAAUUUUACUAGCUGUAUGAUAAGUUCUAUUCAUACGAAAAUUAACAGUUUUUUUCGGAAACAAUUUUUAUAAUUAAUCAUUUACUGCGAGACGUGUAUUGCGAAUUUUGUGUAGGUUGACGAAAUAAUUACGAUUGACAUACUUGGGUAGGAUUACUACGGAUGAUUCCACCAACAACAGUAGGCGUGUUAUAACCAUUGUGAAGAUAAAUCAAUUUAGAUUUACGGCAUAACAAGUUUUAGUGGGGUUGACAGCCGAGA
rnacentral:lncRNA from 1 species